GAGUACCCAGGCGACCCAUUGCUCCAUGGCGCUUUUGAGAGCUCUUUCCUCUCAUCCCUACCCAAUAAGCUGUUUCUUCUCUUCUUUACUUUCAAGAUUGAAAGCUCUUUCCUCUCAUCUCUUGCAAGAUUUUAAUAAUUUCCCUUUUUGCUUUAUUAUUUGUUUUUGUGGGUUUUUUUUUCUUUUUCUUUGGAAAUGGUGAUUUGGGCCGAUCCAAUGGGCUGUUUGCUUAGGAAAAUAAAGCGAGAGCUCAAUUUCACCCGGCCAAUAGUCGAAUAUUGGGGCAGCCUCAAGGUUUUGCAUGUCUUUUUUCUCAUGUUCUAAUUCAAGGAACUGCCCUACAUCUCUCCUAGAUUUUGAUCUCUCC
rnacentral:lncRNA from 1 species